AGGCGUGGCUACAGCUCAUGGGCGUGGCCUAAUCAUGGAUGGGGGGACUAUGUUAUCUGGUCACGUGCACGUCGGUAGAUGUUGCAGCUUGUAGUGUGAUUAGGACGUCCACAGCUGCCUUUUUUAGGAGGGCCCUCUUUUGGCUUUGGUCCCGAAAUUUUAUUAAAAACCACUAUGGCAGCCUACACCCAGCCAGGGCUGGAUUGAGAGCAUCAUGGAGGAGAUUUAUCAAAAUCUAUCCAGAGGAAAAGUUGCUGAGUUGCCCAAAGCAACCAAUCAGAUCGCUUCUUUCAUUUUUAACAAGGCCUCUGUAAAAUUAAAGAAGCAAUAUGAUUGGUUGCUAUGGGCAACUUUUCCUCUGGACAGGUUUUGAUAAAUCUCUCCUCAUGGGCCUGGUGCUGAGAAUUUUGAUGGGCCUAUAAGUGUCCGUGACGCCAACAGCUGGGUUGUUCGCUAACUAGGAUUUGGAUCUGCUAACAAAUUAAGGAGCCUAUGAUGUCCGGGUAUCAGACUCUGCAGAGAAGAUGGAGCUGGAAGACGCCCUGGUAUCUGAACCAGAUAAAGAAGGAAAGGAAAGACAACAGGGAAGAUGUCACUCAGGUUGGCCAGCCAUCCUUAUCCUGCGAUAUUAUUCAUCUGUAUACUCUUAUUGUAUUUUUUAGAUCCUGCCAUGCAUCCUGCCUACUGCCAUUUUUUAAAAUGUAUUAACCUGUGGUAUUUUAUUUUUUGCCUCCCAUAGGCACCUAUCACUUUACUGUAUAAUGUGCUGCCAAUAUGCUAGCACAUAUGCAC